GAGACAGGUGGUGCAUGGUUGUCGUCAGCUCGUGUCGUGAGAUGUUGGGUUAAGUCCCGCAACGAGCGCAACCCUUGUGUUUAGUUGCAAACAGGUCAAGCUGUGCACUCUAGACAGACUGCCGUGGACAACGACGGAGGAAGGUGGGGAGUGACGUCAAAUCAUCAUGCCCCUUAUGAUCUGGGCUACACACGUGCUACAAUGGCCGGCACAACGGGCAGCGAAGGAGCGAUCCGGAGCGAAUCCUAAAAAGCCGGUCCCAGUUCGGAUUGCAGGCUGAAACUCGCCUACAUGAAGUUGGAGUUGCUAGUAAUCGCGAAUCAGAAUGUCGCGGUGAAUGCGUUCCCGGGUCUU
rnacentral:rRNA from 1 species